rnacentral:rRNA from 1 species
UACGUAGGGUGCAAGCGUUAAUCAGAAUUACUGGGCGUAAAGCGUGCGCAGGCGGUUUUGUAAGUCUGUCGUGAAAGCCCCGGGCUCAACCCUGGAACUGCAUUGGAUACUUCCUUGCUAGAGUACUGGAGAGGAAACUGGAAUUUACGGUGUAGCAGUGAAAUGCGUAGAGAUCGUAAGGAAGACCAGUGGCGAAGGCGAGUUUCUGGACAGUUACUGACGCUGAGGCACGAAGGCCAGGGGAGCAAACGGG